AUUUGUCUGGCCUUCUUUGUCUCACCUGAGUCUCAUUGCUCGUUACUCAGUGUGGAUUUAAUCUCUGUGUUUCCUCCUGACUUUAGUGUUUUGUACUGACAGAGAAGGUAGUUCCUGCUCCACACUCCAUACCACUAGGUGGCGGUAAUGCAACCAGAAGUUGUAUGCCAACCACCAAUAAACACAAGAAGAAGACGGGAUCCUCUCUGUAAUGUUGGCUCUUAGAAUAACAACCUGAGCCUGUCAGGGACAGAAACAAGAACUGUUAGCAGAUGUCAUUUGCACAUUUUAACCCGGAGGAUUACGAUUAAAAUGAUUCUCCAGGA